rnacentral:rRNA from 1 species
GAUGAACGCUGGCGGCGUGCCUAAUACAUGCAAGUCGAGCGAACGGACGAGAAGCUUGCUUCUCUGAUGUUAGCGGCGGACGGGUGAGUAACACGUGGAUAACCUACCUAUAAGACUGGGAUAACUUCGGGAAACCGUAGCUAAUACCGGAUAAUAUUUUGAACCGCAUGGUUCAAAAGUGAAAGACGGUCUUCUGUCACUUAUAGAUGGAUCCGCGCUGCAUUAGCUAGUUGGUAAGGUAACGGCUUACCAAGGCAACGAUGCAUAGCCGACCUGAGAGGCUGAUCGGCCACACUGGGACUGAGACGCGGUCCAGACUCCUACGGGAGGCAGCAGUAGGGAAUCUUCCGCAAUGGGCGAAAGCCUGACGGAGCAACGCCGCGUGAGUGAUGAAGGUCUUCGGAUCGUAAAACUCUGUUAUUAGGGAAGAACAUAUGUGUAAGUAACUGUGCACAUCUUGACGGUACCUAAUCAGAAAGCCACGGCUAACUACGUG